GAGGCAGUAGCUCAGUGAUAGAGCUCCCGCUUCGUACGCGGGAAGAGCUGUGUUGGAUUCCUGGCUGCUUUC
rnacentral:tRNA from 1 species